GAGCAUUAUUUUGGUAGUUUCCAUGGCAACAGAAUUUUCUCACCUGACAGGAACUCUAUAAAAUAAGUCAGACAUAUUCUAAUGUGAUGCUGGGAUUGAAUUUACCUAGAACUCUAUUUCAAGACUGACUCUAAAGUCUUUUGGACGAUCUGGAAGAAAUUUGUAAGUGCUCUUUUGGUAGUGAUUAUCUUAAGCUCACUGUGCCUAUUUUUGUUUUUAUAAUGUUUACUUUAUUCUUUAACUUUCUGAUUAAUUAUGUAAUUAAUUAGGUAAAUUAUAAAAACUUUGCAGUAACUACAGAGACAAGUGAGGUAUGGCAGAAGGAAUGUUUAUCAGUGUUUCUCUUGUUGGGCUUCCCAUUUUGUUCCUUGCUCUUCACUCUUUUACUGUUAAACUUGGUCUCAUUUUUUAAAAAGUAGCAUGAAUUGGGCUGGGGAUUUAGCUCAGUAGUUCCACUGCCUGCCUUGCAAGCCCAAGGACCUGAGUUCGAUUCCCGGUACCAAAAAAAAAAAAAAAGUAGCAUGAAUGUGUCAGAAAUACUGGUUUUGAAAUAAUUGAAAAAAAUGACUAAGGAAAACACUUGUUACCAUUAAGAUGGUCUCUUAUAAGCUGUACUUUUAAGUAUUCCUUUUAAAACCCCAAAUGAUAUUGAGGCUUUUGGAUAAUUCUGAAAUAUUGAGAGAAUAAUGAGAAAAAUAUAUUAGUAAUGAUGUUCUCCCAAAGUUUGAUUUUUCUUAUAAACAUUUUUGACUCAGUAAGUCAGCUAUUUGAAAACUACUUUUUUUUUUUAAGAGUAGGAAAAAUUUAUUGAAAGAAAGCUUCUGUCUAAGAGAGACAAGAGGGGGACCAGAAAGUGGGUUUCCUGCUCACCCCACGUUUCAAAAGUGUUUUAUACAGCAAAGCCAUGUGGUGAGGUGAAUACAAAGUGGGACAAAACUAUAAGACCCAGUGGAAAUUUACAAGGUGGACAUGAGGUGGGACAAAACCUUGACCAAUAAGAUUACAAGUACAGUCACCCAGGUAAUAUUGAUUAAAUGGGCUAAAAUGGGGGAGCAAGUCAUGUAACAAAUGUACAAGGAUUUUUAGUAAGGGUGGGGGUCAGGGAUGUUUCCUGGAAAGGCUGGGUUAAGACCUUGGCCCCCCACCCAGGUGAUUGAUACCUCUUUAGAAUAUCAAUCACUGCUAUUCAUCCCACAUGUUUUUUUUUUUUCAAAGUUGUAGGUCUUUCAUGCCAUAGUAGUCUUCCUUAAUAUUUACAAUACAUUCACCAAGAUAAUCAGAUAUGACCCAGGAGCUUCACUUUCUGCCAAAAUUGUUUUAGCCAUUGUAGAGCUUCCUCAAAAUAGAGGCCC
rnacentral:lncRNA from 1 species